AGAGUUUGAUCCUGGCUCAGGACAAACGCUGGCGGCGUGUAUUAGGCAUGCAAGUCGCACGGCACUUCGGUGCAGUGGCGGACGGGUGAGUAACACGUGGGUAACCUGCCCCGUAGUGGGGAAUAACUCGUCGAAAGGCGAGCUAAUACCGCAUAUAACUUCCGGUGAGAAUCCGGAGAGUAAAAGCAGCAAUGCGCUACGGGAGGGGCCCGCGGUCGAUUAGCUUGUUGGUGGGGUAACGGCCUACCAAGCCGACGAUCCGUAGCUGGUUUGAGAGGAUGAUCAGCCACACUGGGACUGAGACACGGCCCAGACUCCUACGGGAGGCAGCAGUGGGGAAUCUUGGACAAUGGGGGCAACCCUGAUCCAGCCAUGCCGCGUGAACGAUGAAGGCCUUAGGGUUGUAAAGUUCUUUCACCGGGGAAGAUAAUGACGGUACCCGGAGAAGAAGCCCCGGCUAACUCCGUGCCAGCAGCCGCGGUAAUACGGAGGGGGCUAGCGUUGUUCGGAAUUACUGGGCGUAAAGCGCACGUAGGCGGACCAUUAAGUCGGGGGUGAAAUCCCGGGGCUCAACCCCGGAACUGCCUUCGAUACUGGUGGUCUGGAGGUCGAGAGAGGCGAGUGGAAUUCCGAGUGUAGAGGUGAAAUUCGUAGAUAUUCGGAGGAACACCAGUGGCGAAGGCGGCUCGCUGGCUCGAUACUGACGCU
rnacentral:rRNA from 1 species